AGGCUUAUAAAUUGGCCAUUGAAGAUUUAACUAAAGCAGCUGAGCUGGAUCCAUCUUGUUCACUAGCCUAUUACAACAGAGGAGCUUGCUACCAUCAGAUCAAGAUGUAUGAGAAGGCUCUUAUAGAUUACAGUAUUGUAAUUCUCCUUGGAGGGCAGAAGGAGGUUGAUAAUAAAGUUCUCAUGAACCGUGGCUUGCUUUACCUGGAACUUGAUGAUUAUGCCAAUGCAUUGCAGGACUUUAUGGCUCUAGCUAGGAAAACGCCUGGA